rnacentral:tRNA from 3 species
GCGCACGUGGCGGAAUUGGUAGACGCGCUAGCUUGAGGGGUUAGUGACUUAAAAGUCGUGGAAGUUCGAGUCUUCUCGUGCGCA